rnacentral:lncRNA from 1 species
GGAGGCGUGAGUCCUCACCCGAGCCGCUCGGUCCUGCGGCCGCUCUGGGUCCGCCCUGGGCAGGCUCAGGGGUGGCGGACGAGCCGGCGAGCGGAGGGGCGGCGCCCUGACGGGCGGGGCGACCCGGAGCUGCAGAGCGGGAUGGACAGGUGGGCGUGGGCUGCGCGGCCGGCGGAACUGGCCGGCCAUCCCGCCGCGGCCCUGACGCCUGGGCUGCGCUGGCUGCUGGGGUCAAAUCCCAGCUGACCUUUCUCCGGAGAAAAGAUAAAUUAUUAUGGUUGUGUGUGCGCGUCAGUGCAAAUAUUUUCCGAGCCCUCCUCCGGCUCUGGGUGCCUUUUGGAUCCCCCGCAUUCCUCAGCCCCGGGCAGGGAGCGGCGGCGCCCUUUGUGUCUCCGCGGAGUGCAUGCCACCUCGGGGAAAAGAGCGAACCUGAGUUAGAACGAACGGGGAGAGAGAGACACUAGCAAAGAAGAGCAUCUGUCCUCCAGGCUGGGCUUUGUCUCCGUUUGCUCUGCAACCGCACUAGCGCAGCAAGGCUACAUAAGGAGGCUUUUCAGCAGAGGAGCCUGGUGUUGAGCUGGUGCCAUGGGGAAUGAAUUCUUCUAUAGACCCCUCGUCCU